rnacentral:rRNA from 1 species
AUGCCUCCGAGACGCGACCCCGAGUUUGUUUUCCCGCCAGAGAUCACUCAGUUGAUUCAGCAGCAGAACACCUUGAUUCAAACAUUGGUACAGAACCAAGGCAACAACAACAACCCACCGCCACCACCACCUGUUGACCAUCUGGCACGUUUCUUAAGGUUGAAUCCGCCGGUGUUUUCCAGUAGCACCGAGCCGAUAGUAGCAGAUGAUUGGCUCCGUAAGAUAGGGAGGGAGUUGACCACAGCAGGAUGCAGAGAUGGAGAAAAGGUGAAGUUUGCCGCACAUCAGCUUGAUGGACCCGCAGCAGCAUGGUGGGAGAAUUUCACAGCCACUUACCCUGUAGACACUGUCACAUGGAAUCAGUUUCAG